GAUGAACGCUGGCGGCGUGCCUAAUACAUGCAAGUCGAGCGAACGGACGAGAAGCUUGCUUCUCUGAUGUUAGCGGCGGACGGGUGAGUAACACGUGGAUAACCUACCUAUAAGACUGGGAUAACUUCGGGAAACCGGAGCUAAUACCGGAUAAUAUUUUGAACCGCAUGGUUCAAAAGUGAAAGACGGUCUUGCUGUCACUUAUAGACGGAUCCGCGCUGCAUUAGCUAGUUGGUAAGGUAACGGCUUACCAAGGCAACGAUGCAUACCCGACCUCAGAGGGUGAUACGGCACCGCGGAGAUGAGCUGCGAUCCAGGAUCCAACGGGAGGCAGCAGCAAGGCAUCGGCGGCAGAGAGAGAAAGCAUGACGGAGCAGCGGCGAGAGAAUGAUGAAGAGCCUCGGAUCGUAAAACUCCGUUAUAAGUGGAGAGCAUAUGUGUAAGUAACUAAGAACGACUGAAAGGAACGGAUUCAGAAGGCCGGGGCAAACAACGA
rnacentral:rRNA from 1 species